GAUGUUGUACUCUCCCUCCACACCAAACCACUUCAGGUGGGGAAUGCCAGUUCCUCCUUGGAGAAGCAUGUAUAACUUUGAUUCAUAGUGAAGUUGAGGGUGCUUGGUCUUGACAGGUUCCAACUUAACAGCCACUUCCUCGUUACUCUGUAUAUUAACACCAAGAUACAGCUCGCCAAACGAUCCGCUCCCAAUCUUCCUCCCAAGCUUGAACUUCCCUCCGAUCACCGGCUCCAUGAUUCCACACA
rnacentral:misc_RNA from 1 species